GAUGAACGCUGGCGGCGUGCCUAAUACAUGCAAGUCGAACGCUGAAGGAAGGAGCUUGCUCUUUCCGGAUGAGUUGCGAACGGGUGAGUAACGCGUAGGUAACCUGCCUGGUAGCGGGGGAUAACUAUUGGAAACGAUAGCUAAUACCGCAUAACAGUAGAUGUUGCAUGAUAUCUACUUAAAAGGUGCAAUUGCACCACUACCAGAUGGACCUGCGUUGUAUUAGCUAGUUGGUGAGGUAACGGCUCACCAAGGCGACGAUACAUAGCCGACCUGAGAGGGUGAUCGGCCACACUGGGACUGAGACACGGCCCAGACUCCUACGGGAGGCAGCAGUAGGGAAUCUUCGGCAAUGGACGGAAGUCUGACCGAGCAACGCCGCGUGAGUGAAGAAGGUUUUCGGAUCGUAAAGCUCUGUUGUAAGAGAAGAACGAGUGUGAGAGUGGAAAGUUCACACUGUGACGGUAUCUUACCAGAAAGGGACGGCUAACUACGU
rnacentral:rRNA from 1 species